GUCCUGUUUAAAGAUAAAUGAAUCUCUCCUGUGGGAUAUCUUGUAUGUGGGAUGCUCAGCUAGGACACAGUAGACAAAGACAGAACAUCUCAUGUUCCAGCUUGCAUUCAUUUCCCCUUGUCCUGUUGCUGAGCACCACACAGAAGGAUCCCGGCCUCAUCCAAAAGGUCCCUGGUUUUAAGAUCCACCUACGAAGUGGAGAGACUUGGCUUCCAUGGCCUCCACAACCUGAAGACUGAGAGGGGGCAGAUCAGUUAUUAGAGUCUCUACACACAAGUAACUCUUUAUCACAAGAUUCUUGUGUAUACAUUUGAGCAGAAAUCACAACCAGGAUCUCCCCUCUUCUAAAGCCAGCAGCUAACCACUACAUGGCCACCAAACAAUUCACUUGCAACCGCUGGAGAGGAGAGAAGUAGAAAAACAAAAG